rnacentral:lncRNA from 13 species
CAAACAGACUUUGACAUCUCUACACUGCGAUCGUGAGGGAGAAGCGGAAAAGGGCGGUUAGGCCAGGUAGGUUACCCGGCCUGUCUAACGCCUCCUGCGGCCCCCUCUCCUUUGAUGCCAGGUCACCCUGGGUCGGCGGCACCCGCGGACAGGGUGGCUUGUGGGUUCUCUGCGAUUACGAACUUUGGGACAGGAGUUGCAGAGAGGAUUACACACGUCUUCUCCAGAGUAGCAACAUAUCAUCUUACUGGCGUUCUGAACUUUAGAUCCCUUUUCUGGUGGAUAAGGAGUAAUGGAGCACCAUGCACAGACUUCAUGGAGACCACUGAAUAUGACGAGGAUUUGGCCCAUCAGGACGGCCCUCUGGUCCAGGCAUAG